rnacentral:lncRNA from 10 species
CCGGCCCUCUGAUUCCUUUUUAAUUAUAAAUUACAAAUUCUGUCUUUAAAUCAUUUCUCUUUUCUUACAUCUUACUGUAUGCAGUUACAGAUGCCACACGGUUCCUCCAAUACUUUGCUUAGAAAUUUCUUCUGCCAGAUACUUUAGUUCAUCACUCUUAAAUUCUGUCUUCCAUAAAGCCCUUGGGCAUCAAAACAAUUCAGUCAAGUUCUUUGCCAAUUUAUAACAAGAAUUGCCUCUAUGCCAGUUUCCAAUAAUAUAUUCCUAAUUUACAUCCAAGACCUGGUGAGAAUGGCCUUUACUGUCCAUAUUUCUAUCAACGUUCUGAUCACAAUCACUUAGGUAAUCUCUAAGAAGAUUCAGACUUUUCUUACAGCCAUACUCUUCUUCUGAGCCCUCACCAGAAUUGCCCUUAAUGCUCUAUUCAUGGCAAUGUAGGCCUUUGCUAGCUGGUUCCUCCAAACUCUUCCAGGCCCUAUUACCCAGUUCCAAAGCCACUUUCACAUUUUCAGUUAUUUGUUGUUUCAAAACCCCACUUCUUUGGUACACAUUUUCCUAAUCCAUUUUUGUGCUGCUAGAACAAUGUCACAGACUGUAUAAUUUGUAAUGAACAGAAAUUAUUGGCUCACAGUUCUGGAGGUUGGGAAGUCCAAGAUCGAGGGGCUGGCAUCUGAUGAGGUCUUCUUGUUUUAUCAUCUCGUGGCAGAAGAGCAAAGAGAGGAGGAGAGACAGCAAGAGGGGGAAGAAACUUGUCCUUUUAUGAAGAACCUACUCCCAUAAUAAUGGCAUUAAUCUGUUUAUGGGUGCAGAAUCACCAUGACCCUAGACAUCUUAAAGGUCCCACCUUCCAACACAAAGAGGUUGUACCAAUUUAUAUUGGGAAUCAGGUUUCCAACAAAUGAACUUUGGAAGACACAUUCAAACUAUACCAUUGUGGAUACCAAUUAGAAGAAAGUCACUAACUCCAGCUCACACACAAUGAGACAGAUUAUACAAAGGAGUAAAUAACAAGAAACAAAAAUCAUUGGGUGCAUACUUAGAUUCUACUUACGACAGCAUCACUAGGCCAUUUCUCCGUACUGAUUACUGGGAAUGUUUCCUAUGUCAUGAUAAUUAGACUCAUAUAAUUUAAUACUAUAAUCUAAUUUAAUAUUACAAUUUUAUAAUGUAAUUUUAAUAUAAUAUAUUUAAUAUAUUAAAAUUAAUUAUAUUUAGUUAAAUAUUUAAUAAUUUGAUAUCAUAUAUCAUAUAAUUUAGUAUUACAGUUUUAAAGUAUUAUAGUUCAUUAUAUAAAUAAAUUAAGCAAUACCCUGGGCAGUAUUGCAUGUGAGCACUGAGAGAGAUUAGAGCAUUCAAAUUCCUGGUGGCUUCAGGACACAAUGCCUUAAUGAAAUUUCAGUUUCUAUUACUGAGCAGGCAUUACAAAGCAAUUUGUCUGAUUUAUGUAACUGUUCCUAAAUUCCCAUAAUUUAAUCUAAAUUAUACAUUAAAUAAUAGGCUACUUGAAUAAGUGUUAAGAUGAAAAGAGAUGCAAAUUAGAGCAUUUCUUGCUUAUGCUAGUUUUGUCAACAUUAAUUUUCUACCCUCCAGGUAAUCUGUUCCAGAAGAAACAUGUGUCGUUCUGACUGAGCCCCUGCCUGUCUGUCACCUUAAGAGCCAGUCAAUUCAUAUGGUCCCCAUAUCAAAGUCUCCUGUGCCCAGAGAGAGGAUUUCAUUUCAACCAUCACCAUCACCACCAUCAUCAUCAUCACCAAGAGAUGUUGUUGAGUGAGCAUCUGGGGAGGCAUAUAUGUCACCUAGUAGGACAUCAACAAAUGCUUAUACUGACCCACUUUUCACCUCCCUCCUAGAGAAGUGAUGACUGUUACCUAAGCCAAACAGCACAAUUGCCAUAGAGUCUACCUGGAAACAUACCAAGCAGUAAGAAGUUAAACCUACUCACAUUUGCAUUAUGAAUGAAGCUUUGGGAACCAUUCCAGUGUUGCAGGAGGGCUUUGCUGAGGGAUCAGGGAAAAGGGAAGGAGAUAAUUAAAACAUUUCCUUUAAUCCCCUGUCAUUUUCUGCCCCCUUGUUUGAUCUUCUAGAUUGAUACUGGAAAAGCAGUUUCUAUUGAGCCCCCAAAUGAAGAGUGAGUGCAGAUGAAGAGGAGGCAGGACUCACAAGCCCUUGAACUUUAUUCCAGAUCUGUUAGCACCUACAGGACCCUGCACCAGGAUUUCAUCUGUACUAUCAGCUUCUUCAAAGAGAGAGAGGUUGUUGAGUGAGUACCCACAAGGGCACAGUACUAAAAACAUGUAAAAUUACAAGUGUUUAAGUCCUAAAAGGUUAAGAUCUAUAAAGAAGAUACCUGGGUGUCCUUUCGGGAGGGUGAGAGUUAGAAUGCCAUUUCUGUUCCUUAGUAGAUGAGUCUGCAAAAUUGAUUUUACAUCAGCAAGUUUAAUAUAGUCAACUU